rnacentral:rRNA from 1 species
UGGGGAAUCUUGGACAAUGGGGGAAACCCUGAUCCAGCCAUUCCGCGUGAGUGAAGAAGGCCUUCGGGUUGUAAAGCUCUUUUGUCCGGAACGAAACGGUGCACGUGAAUAUCGUGCGUUACUGACGGUACCCCAAGAAGAAGCUCCGGCUAACUUCGUGCCAGCAGCCGCGGUAAUACGAAGGGGGCUAGCGUUGUUCGGAUUUACUGGGCGUAAAGCGCGUGUAGGCGGACUGGAAAGUUGGGGGUGAAAUCCCGAGGCUCAACCUCGGAACUGCCUCCAAAACUUCCAGUCUGGACUCAAGUAGAGGCAAGUGGAAUUGCGAGUGUAGAGGUGAAAUUCGUAGAUAUUCGCAGGAACACCAGUGGCGAAGGCGACUUGCUGGACUUGUAGUGACGCUGAGACGCGAAAGCGUGGGGAGCAAA